GACUCUGUGGUGCAAUGGAUAGCACAGAGGACUUCUAAUUCAAAGGUUGUGGGUUUGAGUCCCAUCAGAGUCG